rnacentral:piRNA from 1 species
UCAAAAGUGCGUGAAGACUCAUUUCCAAAG